GGGGCCUGGGAAAUGGCAGUUGUGGGGCUGGGCCUACCAGGGCACAGCCCAAUGACAACUAGCCUGACCCUGCCCUAGAUAAACGACCGGGCAGACACCGGUUUGUCCUGUGCAGUAACAGGUGUGAGCAUUCUGUCAGUAGCUUGAUGGUCAUGUAUGAUACUGCACACAGUC